AUUCCAGCUCCAAUAGUAGAUAUCAAAAUUGUUGCAGUUGAAAAGCUCGUAGUUGAGAUUCUGGGAAGUGUCGCUACUCUAGGCUUGACGCAAGUCAUUCUAGUUGGUGAGCUUUCCAUCUUGUGGAUUCCGCGUUGUUCGUUUGUUCGGAUGACGUGCCACUCAGUUACUGAGAGCAAAUUGGAGUGCUCAAAGCAGGCUAUACAGCUUUGAACAAUUAAGCUUGGAAUAACAAUUAACGACUUGUUUGUAAUUGUUGGUUGUACAUUAACAAGUAAUGCUUGAAAGGAACAGUUGUCGGGGAUAUUCGUAUGAGCAAGUCAGAGGUGAAAUUCAAGGAUUUUGCUUAGAUGAACGACUGCGAAAGCAUCUAUCCAGCAUGUUUUCAUCG
rnacentral:rRNA from 1 species